CACGCCGUAAACGAUGAAUACUAGGUGUAGGGGGUAUCGACUCCCCCUGUGCCGCAGCUAACGCAUUAAGUAUUCCACCUGAGUAGUACGGUCGCAAGACUGAAACUCAAAGGAAUUGACGGGGACCCGCACAAGCAGUGGAGUAUGUGGUUUAAUUCGAGGCAACGCGAAGAACCUUACCAAGGCUUGACAUCCCGCGACAAACGUGGAAACACGUCUUCCCCUGCGGGGGCGCGGAGACAGGUGG
rnacentral:rRNA from 1 species